rnacentral:rRNA from 1 species
UCAGGGAAUAAAAAAAUGAAGGUACCUGAGGAAUAAGCAUCGGCUAACUCUGUGCCAGCAGCCGCGGUAAUACGGAGGAUGCAAGCGUUAUCCGGAAUGAUUGGGCGUAAAGGGUCCGCAGGUGGCAAUGUAAGUCUGCUGUCAAAGAAUGAGGCUUAACCUCAUCAAGGCAGUGGAAACUACGUAGCUAGAGUACGGUCGGGGUAGAAGGAAUUCCUGGUGUAGCGGUGAAAUGCGUAGAGAUCAG